rnacentral:misc_RNA from 1 species
AAGUCGUAACAAGGCUUCCGUAGGUGAACCUGCGGAAGGAUCAUUAAAAGAGACUUCAUCUUUCGAGAUGAUACUCCCAACCCUUGCUUAUCUAUGUUUUGUUGCUACGGCGGAUCACAGAAAGGUUGCGAGACUUUUCUCCCGUCAGAAGACCAAACUUAAACCUCUUUAAAAAUUGUCUGAAAAUAGAUCUUACGAUCUAAAACAUAAUAUAUACAA